CAGUGACUGGAGACAGUGAAGAGAAUGUUGUCCAUCAUGGUUGUCAUGGUUACACAUCUAUCAGCUGUUGGUCAUGGACUCCUCUGUGUCAUCAGAAUGGGCAGGUGAAGCCUGAAGCCACAGCACACUCUGUUGCAUGUGUGGAGCAGCUCAGCAGAAUGUGGUGCUGAAUUCCAGGUUGGCUUCCAGCCUAGGUUUAUGAAGGAAUCCAUCUUUCCGCGUUUCUGAUCAUCAUUAGAUGGGUGCUGUGUCCUUACACAAUUCGAAUUAUCUUCCCCCGAGUGAAACAUGAGCGCAUCCUCUCUGCUCUUUACUACUGGAGGGGCUCUUGAAGGACUGGUAUUUGCCAUCUUACUUUUGGGACAGUCAUCUCCAUAUUCCCGGAAUACCUCUAGCAAGAGAAGAACCUGCAGAGCCACACAGAGACACCAGAGGGCAGCAGAGCCUCUAAACUGAAAAAAAGAAACGGACAGGCCUCUGGCUGGGAUGUGAACUGGACAAACCACAGAAAGAGAGACGUUCGAAAGGGCUUCAAGGAACCAGAGAAUGGCCUCUGUGCUGACCUGUAAAGAUUUUCAAUUAGUACAAGAUCGCUGAAGAAAACUCUCAGCCAGAACGUUCUAGAGUUACUUUCAUAGCUACCGAAAAAGCAACACCCAACAUGACAGCAAACAAUCUAACAGACAAAUGAUCUUCUAAAUCGGUAUUUAGCUGUGCUUAUACCAGAUUCAUAAGCUGAGGACCUGGGAGGUGAAGAACACAGCCUGUUGAAGAUGCCUUUCCUUGUUAAGACAGCAGAAGGGAUCUACCUGCUCAGACAUCUGGCUCCAGACCCUGGAGUCUGGCUUGAAUGACCUAGCCACUCUCUGUGUAUUCAAGUCCUGUCCACAUAAUAAAUGGGGAAGUUGGGUGCUUUCCCCAAUGCCAAACCGUGGGGAAUCCCUAGAGCCGGGGUACAGUCUCCCUUGUAAAACACGCAGGUUACCUGAUCCAACCCCACUGCCCUUACUCCUUUGAUUAUGGCGAACGGGGGUGAUUUCUUCAUACGCAAAGCAGAAAAAAAUCUUCGCUUCCUGUUGCUUGCUUUAAGAUGGAAAAAGAAAAUCAGAAGCUAAUUACUGAGACUCUGAGAACAAGCCUGGGCUACACAGCAAACCAUCCUUCACCUCCACCCCCAAAAAGGGAAAGAAAAGAAAAUUGCAAGGCCACAAGGCUCUUCAGAUGAGUUACAAACGUAUCCUCCACCCCUGCCACUGCCUCCCGUGUUCGCUGCUCUCCUCUGAGGGCCAGGCAACUCUCACACCACCCAGGGAAGUGGUGGCUCUUUUUGAAGCACCAUCCUCCCCAUUCCCGAACUUAUUUGACCUUGAAAAUGGUGAGUUGAGUAGUUUUCAUCCACGCCAGGUAAAAACUAGAUAAUAUGAUCAUGGGAAUGAUUUCAGUGGAUUACUGAGAAACAGAGCUGGCCCCAGAUGAAGAACUGCACAGGAGGGAACCACAGCCUCCAUCUUGUAAGAGACGGAGGGGAAACGUAGCUUGGUACCAUCUGAAAGCUGAAGAAACAGACCAGAGGCCAGAGAACAAGCGCCCCAAACUUACACGAUUAAAUGCUUGGAUGCCAAAGGCUAAAGAGUGGGAGAAAACGGACCGAUAAGAUCCUUUGUCUAGGGCUGGUGAGAUGGCUCAGCGGGUAAGAGCACUGACUGCUCUUCCAUAGGUCCUGAGUUCAAGUCCCGGAAACCACCCUCUUCUGGAGUGUCAGAAGACAGCAACAGUGUAUUAUAAGUAAGUACAGUGUACUUACUUAUAAUAAUAAAUAAAUCUUUGGCCUGAGUGAGCGGGGUUGACCAGAGUGAGCAGACAUCCUGAAUUCAAUUCCCAAAACCAGAUGUACAGCUAUAGUGUACCCCAUAUACAUAAAAUAAAUAAGCAAAUCUUUUAAAAAA
rnacentral:lncRNA from 1 species